CGGAGUCUAGCAUGUGCGCAAGUCAUUGGGAUAAAACCUAAAGGCGUAAUGAAAGUGAAAAUUUGUCUUGCACAACUAGGGAGGAUAAGUAAUCGCUUCGCACUCCCGGGGCGUCUCAUUCUUAUUGCAAGAAGAGGCGCACCAAGAGCGUACACGCUGGGACCCGAAAGAUGGUGAACUAUGCCUGGUCAGGACGAAGUCAGGGGAAAUCCUGAUGGAGGUCCGUAGCGAUUCUGACGUGCAAAUCGAUCGUCGGAACUGGGUAUAGGGGCGAAAGACUAAUCGAACCAUCUAGUAGCUGGUUCCCUCCGAAGUUUCCCUCAGGAUAGCUGGCGCUCAUUGCGUACGAGUUUCAUCCGGUAAAGCGAAUGAUUAGAGGCAUUGGGGUCGAAACGGCCUCAACCUAUUCUCAAACUUUAAAUGGGUGAGAUCUUCGGCUUGCUUAACUCGAAUCAGAGUGCCAAGUGGGCCAUUUUUGGUAAGCAGAACUGGCGCUGUGGGAUGAACCAAACGCUGAGUUAAAGUGCCUAAAUCGACGCUUAUGGGAUACCAUGAAAGGCGUUGGUAACUUAAGACAUCAGGACGGUGGCCAUGGAAGUC
rnacentral:rRNA from 1 species